CCCUCAUUGUACAUGCUGUGUGUAUUUAUAUCACGUACACAGCGCAUGCAAUGUGGAC
rnacentral:pre_miRNA from 1 species